rnacentral:rRNA from 1 species
ACUCAAAGGAAUAGACGGGGGCCCGCACAAGCAGCGGAGCAUGUGGUUUAAUUCGAAGCAACGCGAAGAACCUUACCAAGGCUUGACAUCCCGCGCAACCCGUGGAAACACGGGGUCCCUUCGGGGCGCGGAGACAGGUGGUGCAUGGUUGUCGUCAGCUCGUGUCGUGAGAUGUUGGGUUAAGUCCCGCAACGAGCGCAACCCUUACACUUAGUUACCAGCGGGUAAAGCCGGGGACUCUAGGUGGACUGCCGGGGACAACUCGGAGGAAGGUGGGGACGACGUCAAAUCAUCAUGCCCCUUAUGUCUUGGGCUACACACGUGCUACAAUGGCCGCUACAAAGGGAUGCGAAACCGCAAGGCGGAGCAAAACCCAUAAAAGCGGUCCCAGUUCGGAUUGUGGGCUGCAACCCGCCCACAUGAAGUCGGAGUUGCUAGUAAUCGCGGAUCAGCAUGCCGCGGUGAAUGCGUUCCCGGGCCUUGUACACACCGCCCGU